AAAACUACGCUUUCAAUCAUCUACGGUAGCACAAAUCGAUAAUAAUCAUAAAUCAUUUAAUUUAAAAAAUUAUAUAAUAUAGAAAUGUAAUAAUAAUUCUGAUAUUUUAUAAUAGUAAAAUUUUCAAAUUUCUAAAAUAAAACGAAAUACAUUUUUUUAUUUUCUAUCAAAGAAAAAUUAAUUUUUAUGAAAAUAAUUAAUUAUCAAAAUAUUAUGAAUAAUAAUAAUAUCAUAUAUAUCCAUACCUAUUUAAUGGAAAGGAGAGAGAAAGUUAGUGCUCCCUCCGAAAUUUAGAAAAAAAAUGAAAGGAGCCCGUCGAAAAAAAUCAGAUGAAAAAGGAACUCCAUAUAACUUAGAUUUUUAUUAACUUUUUUUUUCAUACGGAAAAGAGAGAGAAAGUUGGAGCCCCUCCAAAAUUAAAAAAAUAAAAAAAUUGUAAAAGAAAAUCAGUUAAAAAAAUUCACAUAGGAUUCUUAUUAAUUUUUUAUAUAAAAAAC
rnacentral:lncRNA from 1 species